GGAGGUAUAGCUCAAGUGGUAGACUGCAUGCUUAGCAGGCAUCAGGUCCUGGGUUCAAUCCCCAGUAACUCCC
rfam:Camelus ferus unplaced genomic scaffold scaffold850, whole genome shotgun sequence.